rnacentral:tRNA from 1 species
UUUCAUUAGUAUAUUUUAUUACAUUUAGCUUCCAACUAAAAAAUCUUUAGAUGAAAUAA